UUUCCGUAAGUGAACCUGCGGAAGGAUCAUUGUCGAAACCUGCCCAGCAGAACGACCCGCGAACUUGUAUAAACAACCGGGGGCGGGGGGCGUUCUCGCCCCGUGCCCCCGAACGGCGGGGAGACACUCGUGCCUUCUUGCCGAACAACGAACCCCGGCGCGGUCUGCGCCAAGGAACUUCAACUAAAGAGUGCCUCCGGUCGCCUCGGAAACGGCGUGCGUGCCGGGGGCGAAUCUUGUGCAAAACCAUAACGACUCUCGGCAACGGAUAUCUCGGCUCUC
rnacentral:misc_RNA from 1 species